GCGGGGGCGUGUGUGGCCGUCGGGGCGGGGUCCCCGCGGGGGCGUGUGUGGCGUCGGGUCGGGGUCCCCGCCGGGGCUCUCGCGGGGGGAUGUGCGUCGGGACUGCUUCUAGGGGGUGGAGUGAUGCUGGGGUGGGGAGGGGCCUGCCUUGUUCCUUCCCGCCUUCUCCUCUCAGUGUCCCCAGGCUGGCCUCCUCCUGGGCUUCUUGUCACCCCGGUGUCUUUCUCACGCGUCCUCGGUCACCCUCUGGCCGCCUCCUGGGUGGGAGCCGUCGCGCCUUUCCCUCCCUCCGCCUCACUUGGUUGUCCGCGUGGUUUCCACGACUGACCUUCUGCUUUUCAGCUCCUACUUCCUUCCUGCGGCAGCACCCUGGCCUCUGGGCUGCCGCCGCGGCUCCUCCCCAGACCAGGGACUGGUGCCGGGCGGGCGGACACUGAGUAAAUUCUGAACACAUGGGUAACAGUUGGUGACCAGGCACGUCUGACCGUCGGGGGCGACACCCCCGUGUUCCUGGGCAGCUUGGCGGCGCGAAAUGCAUGGGCCAUAAAGAAAAAGGCUGCAGUGCUGAAAUGUUAAAUUCUCGCGUAUUUUAUAAAAUCUUCACAUGAAAAGACAAGCCACAGACAGAAAAUCUGUAACUGAGGAGAUGCUGCUCUCCUGAUAAAAAGAACGUGGACAAGUCAACCAGCACUGUCACAGCCCUGGCAUUCAGCACGAGCCCAACAACACUGCUGAUGGACGACAGAAAGAAGGACACACACAUAAGACAACUCGUGACCAUCUCACCCCCAGGUGGACAAGACCCAGGAGCCUGACCGUACCGAGUACUGGAGGGCGUGAGACCCGGUGGGGGCUAGUGGACUGCUGCUGUGGCCCGGGUGUCCCUCAGAUUUCAUGUGCUGAAUCUUCCCGCUAGGCCGUGAGAAUCGGAUCAGCGCCCUGAAAACAAGAGACUCCACAGCUCCCUCACCCGCUUACCCAUGUGAGCUCACAGCGAGGAAUUCACCACCCUCCACCGGGCCACACUGGCCACCUGAUCCCAUAGCUGCACGCACACACGUGCACGCAACAUACACAGCUCACGCGCAUGCACACGGACACACGUGCGUGUGCACACACGCGCAGCAUACAUGCGCACGCUUAGUCACGGGGACCAGGUGUUCGUUCCCUACAGGACAGGACAAGUCUGGGAUAUCCUAAUGGCGCCUGGGAGGGUCGCCUAACCCUCAGUGAUGGGGAGAAGAAGGACUGGCACGUGGAGGAGGAAGUGGCCUCCGCCGU